rnacentral:rRNA from 1 species
UACGAAGGGGGCUAGCGUUGCUCGGAAUCACUGGGCGUAAAGGGUGCGUAGGCGGGUCUUUAAGUCAGGGGGGAAAUCCUGGAGCUCAACUCCAGAACUGCCUUUGAUACUGAGGAUCUUGAGUUCGGGAGGGGUGAGUGGAACUGCGAGUGUAGAGGUGAAAUUCGUAGAUAUUCGCAAGAACACCAGUGGCGAAGGCGGCUCACUGGCCCGAUACUGACGCUGAGGCACGAAAGCGUGGGGAGCAAACAGG